rnacentral:rRNA from 1 species
UACGGGGGGAGCAAGCGUUGUUCGGAUUUACUGGGCGUAAAGGGCGCGUAGGCGGCGCAACAAGUCACUUGUGAAAUCUCCGGGCUUAACCCGGAGCGGCCAAGUGAUACUGUCGUGCUAGAGUGCGGAAGGGGCUACUGGAAUUCUCGGUGUAGCGGUGAAAUGCGUAGAUAUCGAGAGGAACACCUGCGGCGAAGGCGGGUAGCUGGGACGACACUGACGCUGAUGCGCGAAAGCCAGGGGAGCGAACGGG